CAACGAUCUUUAUAAAGUUGUUUGAAGCGUCUAUGAUAAACAGAGAGAAAAUUAGAAUGCAAGGAAGUUGACAUGUCAUCACUUCAUUUUUUUGCGCCUGCGCAUAAAUCUGAGAAGCGUGAGUUUGUCAUUAAUUGUUUAUCAAGACAUAGGAUAGGUUGUGUGAAAAUAUUACUGAUGUUUAACGUUAAAAAUGGACCAAAAGAUUAAUGCUAAACAAGGUUUGACAUGUUUGAACGAACGUAAAUAGAUUAUUUACUAGGUUUUUUUUAGCUUUUCGGCGUGAUUUUACAACCUCCCCCACCACGUUUUGUGGGAGCAUAAUGAACGCUAACUACUUGGUGUUAUUUGGACAUAAAUUAUGAACUUUGUCAAAAGAAACCACAUUUGUUCCGGACCUGGGAUUCCUGGCAGUGCCUUCUGAUGGAGAUAAUCAAAGGGAAAAUGAAGAUAACGGUGCCAUUACGAUUGCUCUGUGGGAGCCAGAAACGUACGACUGUGCCCCAAACCGCAUCCUAUUCACUAUGUAGUGCACUACUUUUGGUCAGGGCCCAUAGGAAAUCCCAUAGGGCUCUGGUCAGAAGUAGUGCACUACAUAGGGAAUAAGGUGCCAUUUGGUACACAUUGUAUGAUUUGGAGGGGAUCUGCUGUUUGCUUCGAUGAAAAUGAGCCUUGAUGAGAUACACAGAAAGCUGUUCAAAGAAGACCAGGGUAUGAAAUAUUGGAGCAGAAGGAGUAUAUUUUUAAGAGCUGAAGGGAAAUAUAACACACCCUGAAAACAAUGAUAACUGGGACAGCUGUGUAUCUGUGUGAGAAGUGAAAUACAAUGACAACUGUGACAGCUGUGUAUCUGUGUGAGAAGUGAAAUGCAAUGAUAACUGUGACAGCUGUGUAUCUGUGUGAGAAGUGAAAUACAAUGAUAACUGUGACAGCUGUGUAUCUGUGUGAGAAGUGAAAAACAAUGAUAACUGUGACAGCUGUGUAUCUGUGUGAUAAGUGACAAACAAUGAUAACUGUGACAGCUGUGUGAGAAGUGGCAAACAAUGUGAAACAUAGGCAUACUGUACAGCAUAACAGCUAAUGUUCAAAACACUGAGUGGGCGGAAAGUACUCUGUCUCUGUCUUAUUAUAGUUCUGUCUACCUGACAAUCUCACCAGCAGUGGUGUAAAGUACUUAAGUAAAAAUACUUUAAAGUACUACUUAAGUAAUUUUUGGGGGUAUCUGUACUUUACUAUUUGUAUUUUUGGCAACUUUUACUUUUACUUCACUACAUUCCUAAAGAAAAUAAUGUACUUUCUACUCCAUACAUUUUCCCUGACACCCUAAAGUACUCGUUACAUUUUGACAGGAAAAUUGUCCAAUUCCAACAUCCCUGGUCAUCCCUACUGCCUCUGAUCUGGCGGACUCACUAAACACAAAUGCUUCGUUUGUAAAUGAUGUUGGAGUGUGCCCC
rnacentral:lncRNA from 1 species